GUCCACGCCGUAAACGUUGGGCACUAGGUGUGGGGUCUAUUCAACGGACUCCGUGCCGUCGCUAACGCAUUAAGUGCCCCGCCUGGGGAGUACGGCCGCAAGGCUAAAACUCAAAGGAAUUGACGGGGGCCCGCACAAGCAGCGGAGCAUGUUGCUUAAUUCGAGGCAACGCGAAGAACCUUACCUGGGUUUGACAUGUAGAGAAAAGCCAUAGAGAUAUGGUGUCCUUCGGGGUUCUACACAGGUGGUGCAUGGUUGUCGU
rnacentral:rRNA from 1 species